AAAAAAUGCGCUAAAUUUAAUUCACAAAAUGGAACUUGGUUUUUUGCAAUCCUUAAACUGAGUUUUGAGUAAAAUUUCUUGACCGUGCAGCUACACGGAAAAUUUCGCCGCACCCUAUUUCUCGUUCGUAAAAUUUUGUAAACAGGACGUGCGAACUGUCACCACAAAAGGGAGAAUACGUCAUCGUGAAUCGACCCAUUUUAGCAGCGCUCUCCAUUUUUUUUUCUGCUGUCAGCAUCGCACGCGUGGCUGAAAUUGUAAACAAAAAAUUCUCCCGGAAAAGUGUUACCAUUUUGCGCCGGUGAUGAUGAAUCUAGAUUAAUCAUGGGUGCGGUAGGCAACGGUUCCGGUGGUGCGAGCGCGCAGGAGAAUUCAUCCAUUCUUUAAAAAAAUGUUAAGUCCCCUUUUUUCCGGAGUGACAAGUGCCAGCACCCAAUUAAAGGACAACCACGGGGCAGCAGCGCCAAGAAAGGUUCAGCAGUGCUGCGGCAACACGAAGUAGGAUGGAUCGGAAUUGCCAUCGCAUUUGGUACGGAAGUGCUGCAAGAUUGGGAACAUCCGGAAGGUGUAUCGAUCAACAACCGCAGUAUUUUAAUGAUGAAUCUGAAUGUAAUAAUAAUCAUGUUUAAUGAAAUAAAUUAGUAAACCAAA